rnacentral:rRNA from 1 species
ACGAACGCUGGCGGCGUGCCUAAUACAUGCAAGUAGAACGCACAGUUUAUACCGUAGCUUGCUACACCAUAGACUGUGAGUUGCGAACGGGUGAGUAACGCGUAGGUAACCUGCCUGGUAGCAGGGGAUAACUAUUGGAAACGAUAGCUAAUACCGCAUAAUAUUGAUUAUUGCAUGAUAAUUGAUUGAAAGAUGCUAUUGCAUCACUACCAGAUGGACCUGCGUUGUAUUAGCUAGUAGGUGAGGUAACGGCUCACCUAGGCGACGAUACAUAGCCGACCUGAGAGGGUGAUCGGCCACACUGGGACUGAGACACGGCCCAGACUCCUACGGGAGGCAGCAGUAGGGAAUCUUCGGCAAUGGACGAAAGUCUGACCGAGCAACGCCGCGUGAGUGAAGAAGGUUUUCGGAUCGUAAAGCUCUGUUGUAAGAGAAGAACGGGUGUGAGAGUGGAAAGUUCACACUGUGACGGUAUCUUACCAGAAAGGGACGGCUAACUACGUG